rnacentral:rRNA from 1 species
UACGGGGGGGGCAAGCGUUGUUCGGAAUUACUGGGCGUAAAGGGCUCGUAGGUGGCCAACUAAGUCAGACGUGAAAUCCCUCGGCUUAACCGGGGAACUGCGUCUGAUACUGGAUGGCUUGAGAUUGGGAGAGGGAUGCGGAAUUCCAGGUGUAGCGGUGAAAUGCGUAGAUAUCUGGAGGAACACCGGUGGCGACGGCGGCAUCCUGGACCAACACUGACGCUGAGGCGCGAAAGCCAGGGGAGCAAACGGG